rnacentral:rRNA from 1 species
GUGGGGAAUAUUGGACAAUGGGCGAAAGCCUGAUCCAGCCAUGCCGCGUGUGUGAAGAAGGUCUUCGGAUUGUAAAGCACUUUAAGUUGGGAGGAAGGGCAGUAAGUUAAUACCUUGCUGUUUUGACGUUACCGACAGAAUAAGCACCGGCUAACUUCGUGCCAGCAGCCGCGGUAAUACGAAGGGUGCAAGCGUUAAUCGGAAUUACUGGGCGUAAAGCGCGCGUAGGUGGUUCAGCAAGUUGGAGGUGAAAUCCCCGGGCUCAACCUGGGAACUGCCUCAAAAACUACUGGGCUAGAGUACGGUAGAGGGUAGUGGAAUUUCCUGUGUAGCGGUGAAAUGCGUAGAUAUAGGAAGGAACACCAGUGGCGAAGGCGACUACCUGGACUGAUACUGACACUGAGGUGCGAAAGCGUGGGGAGCAAACAGGAUUAGAUACCCCUGUAGUCC